rnacentral:rRNA from 1 species
UACAGAGGGGGCAAGCGUUAUUCGGAAUUAUUGGGCGUAAAGAGCGCGUAGGCGGUCCGAUAAGUCGGCUGUGAAAGUCCAGGGCUCAACCGUGGAAAGCCGGCCGAUACUGUCGGACUAGAGUCCGGAAGAGGCAAGUGGAAUUCCCGGUGUAGCGGUGAAAUGCGCAGAUAUCAGGAGGAACACCUAUUGCGAAGGCAGCUCGCUGGGACGUUACUGACGCUGAGACGCGAAAGCGUGGGGAGCAAACAGG